CUCCCCACCAUCCAUGAUCUAGACCAGCUGAUUUCUCUCUUCCCAUCACUGCAGGCCCACACCUUUCCCAGGGCAUCCACUCUGACAUGGAAUACUUCACUUCAUUAUCCUUAAGUGGUAUGCUUGUGUGUACGUGAGAAAGAUACCUAUUUAAUUAGACUCUAAGCUCUUGUGAGAGCUGUAUCUUAUCUCACAGUUGCUCUCUGACCCCAGCUCUUAGACUAACCCCUUACCAGGCAGAGGAUUUACAGAUAGUUUCUCCCAUUCUAUAGGUUGCCUUCUCACUUUGCUGAUCGUUUCUUUUCUUGUGCAGAAGCUUUUCAGUUUGAUGUCUUCCUACUUGUUGAUUGUUGAUUUUAUAGCUUAUGCUCAUGUUAAGCUGGAAGGUAGAACUUACCAGAGUCAAUUCCGGAUCCUAUCAGGAAGAAUAAUUACACAGUGCCCAAAUGUCUGGAGGCACACCAGUCAGAACAGGCUGUGUUGUGCUUCAAUAACAAACAACUCCUGGGAUCUUAGUCCCUUAAAACAACCCAUGUUUUGUGAGUUUUUUGGCUCACAUUUCAUGUCUUUCAUGGGAAUUCAGCCUUCUUUCCCAACUCUCCAUGCUCUGUGAGGAGCAGUGGGGAUCAUGACAUUCUGUGAGCCAAGCCGUGGGGGAGCUGUGGCUGAGCUCCCAUAAUGAGAUGGUCCGGCUCCCGAGCCUGUCCCAUGUGGGCAGCACCGGGGCAUCUGGAGUCUGGGUGCAGAGGGUGAGGGUCCCAGUCCUGUCACGGUGGAGCUCUGGAAGUCACGGAGGUUUACAGGAGGGGCUUUCACUUCCCCAGGAACCUGAGUCCUGGACACAAUCUCUGCCAGGGACGCGUCACGCUGCUCCGGAUCCAAGCUGCAGACCUGGACUCCGGCCAGUGCCAAGCAUCAGGAAUUUGGAGACAGUGGAAACACAAUGGAUUUUCACCCAGAACUUAGCACUUCCCCCUUUUCUGACCCCCUGUGCGCACCACGUGGAGGGGAGGGAGGGAGGGAGCUUGGCUCAGAGCAGCCUCACAGCAAACAUCCCUGACACAGCCUCCUCGGCCCAUCCUGGGUGAGAGUCCCCUCUCACCUGGCACAAGACACCAGUUCCCAGGGACAGCGUCCGCCGGCACCCACCUGGCAGGUUAUCCACGGGUGUGCGUCCUGGGGGUGGUGACUUGAGUUACCUGCGUGAGCUGCCUGCGCCUUACCCGUCUGUUCCCAUUUGAAUGGCCUGUGGGCGGGACUUAUGGGACGCCAAGUGUGUUACCUACACGUGCACUGCUGUGUCACCUGUGUGUCAUACGUGUGCUGUUUCCUUGGGUUCUGUGUGCUUGUGUGUGUUCCCAGUGAGUGUAUCACCUGAGUGCCUCCCACGCAUUCUAUCCUGACGUCAUCUCUGCCUAUGCGACCUGUGUGCUACAUGGAUGCUUCUGUGUUACAUCUGUGUCACCUCAAUGUGUGUGUUGGUGAUUCUUUGUGUUCCCACAUGAAUCUCAUGUGCUCUCCUUGUGUGUCACCUGUGUGUGCGUGCUGCUGGUGUGUGAACACUGUCACACCCUCCAUGUGACGCCCACACGACCUUUCGGCAGGUGACUCACAUUUUGGUCUGUGUGGCGCUGCCUGUGUGACAUCUGUGUCACACGUGUGCGUGCUGCUGGUGUGGCUCGUUCUGUGCACCGCCUCCAUACUGCGUGUGCCACCUCAGCAUGACCUGUGCCUGCCGCUCCUGUGUGAACACUGUCAUACACUCCGUGUGACGCUCAUGUGAGCUGUGACGGGUGACUCGUGUUUGGUCUGUGUGGUGCUGCCCGUGUGUGACAUCUGUGUCACCUGUGUUCAUGCCACCUGGGCGUCCCCGGGGGCGACACUUACCGUGUCACGCGUCUUGCUGACCGGAUCCACUUCCUGCGGCGUCGGGUGGUCCUCCCACCAGCUCCCCGGGACUGUCCGGGAGCGGCCCCGUCACACGCUGCCGCCGUGGGCCGAGGGCAGAGAGGUGGGCCGGCGGAGACUCGGACACGCCGGCCUCGGGCCGUCCUGGGUCGCGGGGACCGCAGGAGCCGCCGCGACGUCCGUACCCACCGCCCGCCUCACCGCCCUGCCCUGUCUUCUGGGGCCGGGCCUCGGCGGGGCUGCUCUCGAGGCCAAGCCGCCCUCCGACCAGGCGUAGCUCGCGGCGACGACAGGCCCUCGGCCGCCCACCGGCUGAGAGACGGCUGCGUCCGCUCCGCGGGCCGGGGCAGCGGUGGGCAGGCCCCUCGGGACCCCAGAUCCAGGGCUCCACGACGUCACGGACUCUGGUUUGCACCUCGGCCGUCUGGCUUCAUGAACGGGACCCCAUCUCUCUCAUCUGACACCUCUAGGCCCCUCGACGGCGACAAGAUGGUGGCGGAGCGCCGUCCUCACCUCCUCUCACGGCCAAGGCUUUCCUGUUAGCCUGGCUGCUCCUGACACUCACUCUGAUUGGACAGGCGGAGGUCAUAUGACGUCCCUGAACCAAUCCCGGCAGUCAGGACACAGCCAGUGGAUAGUGUAAGAACCUUUCCUGUUGGCUGGCAGGCAAGUCCAGACCUUCACUCUGAUUGGACACACCCAGGUCAUGUGACAUCCCUGAACCAAUCACUGCAGCCAGGGCCCACCUUCGCUUGAACUGACGAGAUCACAGCGCCCCCUGGAGCCAAGGGAGCCCAUCCAGGAUCACUGGUCUGGGUGGGAUGGGGGGAUGGCGGAUUCCUGAUGAAAGCUGGGGGCUCCUGGAAGAAGAGGGGGAUGCUGGAGGCCACUCCCGGUGUCCUACAGGGAGUCUAGGUCACUGUCCCGAGGCCCCGGCUGCCCCAAACAGAGACCCUGACGGGAGGAGAGGCGGGGACGUGGCCUGUGGCCUUUCCUCCUGACUUCCGGUCCUGGACCUGCGGCUUCCAGACCCGCCGACCUCAGCCAGAGCAUGAGACCCACGGGACUGAGGCCACCCGGACAGUCCUGGACAGAGCUGGAGACCCGCGGACUAAGGCCACCCGGACUGUCCCGGGCAGAGCUUGGCCAUCCCGCCCCUUGUCCCGUGGAUUCCCACCAGUCUCCCCACAGCCCAGCCACGGGCCAGCGCCUCUCCGGGUCCACCGUGACGUCCUCCUCAAGGUGGUGCUUUCGUAGUUGGAAGCCUGAGGCCUGAGUGUCUCCGCGUGAAGAUGCGGGGUUUGUGCGUUGAUUGAAGAUAAAACAUACUGAGCUCCAGAACGUCUGGAGGCUCUGAGGGAAUUUGAAAUUUUAACCUGCUCUGUGAACUCCGAAGCUGGUGAGUCAUCCACAGACUUCGUGAGGUGUCAGACAGCCUGUGCUUCUCCACUCGAUCUGGAAACCAGGGAUGCUGCCUAAUGACACGCAAAGCUCUGGAAUCAGAAGGAGAGACUGGCGGGACGUCUCCCAGAAGGAAGGCCUGAGAUGGGGUCACAACCGCCUCACGGUCCUGGGUCCAGAGGAGGCGAGCGCACUCCCGUGGUGACAGGUCCGUCCUGUCACCCCCCUCGACCCCACGACCCUGCGGUCCCCCCUCGGUGCUGCUGGGGAGAAUCCACACCAGCAGCGGAGAAGCAGGAACCCAAGGCACAGGCUGAGCCCUGCGGGGCACUGAGACCUCCGCACCUCCAGAAACGUCGGAGGCUGGGCCUUCCCCCAGCUCCCCUUUACCUGCAAGGCGGUCCUCCCCUGAGACCCCUGGGGAGCCCUCCCAGACCCUGUCUGCCCCUGAGGCCCCCUCCUCUGGGCCUCACAGUGCAGGGCGAGCCCGGGUCUUGGAGUUGGUCUCACCGCCUGGGACGAUGGGGUUGCUGACUCGAGGCGGCCCGAGGCACUUCUGACUUCCUUGUCCAGCUCCUCCGCACCCCCCUCCCAGUGGCGUGGUGACUGGCCGCAGCAGCCUGCGUCCUGGAGCCCGUGCCGAGCGGAGCACCGCUGUCAGUCCAGGAGGGACGUGAGGCGCGGGACAGGAGUCGGGACAGCAGGCGAAGGUGCCUUCACGACCGCGCUGAGCUCGCCUCCUGCACAGGUUCAGCUGCCGCCCUGUGAUCCUGCGUUCCCGGGCUCAGAGCCGGAGCCCACGUUUCCUUGAACUUCCUCUUCUGCCAAGGUUGGGGCUUCUUUCUUAUUUGCAUCUGGCACAUCUCUUUAAUGGUUCUGAUGUGUUUACUCUUCACAUCAUUUCCAAUCUUAGGGAUCAUAACGCUUAUUUAUGUAUUUAUUUGUGCCUUAGUGUCUUCUCUUCAUCUCAGAGAUGUGGAAUUUCCUUCUAGCUUCGUCGUCCAUUUCUCUCUCCCCUGGGCUCUCAGGGGCAUUUCUUCUGUGGUUUUCCAAAACUAAUGAACGUAGCUAGAGCGUUUCUGCAGAGUGUUCUCACCUCUGAGUGGAGAGUUCACCAUCUCUAAACAGGGGAUCUGAGGCUCAGAGAGUGUGCUGCUCAACACGGUAGACCUGCGCUCAGGUCAGUAGACUGGGCGGGGGGCACAUGGCUGCUUGAUUCAGUAAAUGCUCAGAAACAUAAAUUUUAAAACAUCUGUUAGCACUGUAUAAAUUUAAGAAAGGACACAUAUUUAGAGGUAUACGUGGUAGAAAUAAAUUGAGAAAAGAUUAAAUAAACGAAUAUUCAGAAUCACUUGUGGACUUUACACAGAACCGCUCCAUGUCUCCUGCUGCUCUGUGCCCAGGUUUAUAAAUUAACACAAGUGCUUUCCAUUGAUCACAGGGAUGGUGCACACUCCCCACCUGGAGUGAUCACAAGGAAACUUGCCCUUCAGACCCUGGGGAACAGGCCUCGGGUCGAUGUGGGGAAAUAACACACUGGUGAGAGCUUGCUGUGUGUCAGGAGCACCAGGUGCUCACCCCGGGAUCUCUGGCCUCAGCCCAGCCUAUGUGACAGGAAGAACAUCCUCCAUCUGUAUGAGGAAACUGAGACCCAGCAUUGGCCAUGGUCUUGCAUUUAAUGGGGACAUAGGACAGGACUGUACUGACACAUAUCACAAGGACACUGUGAUCAGUGUGGCACACACAGACUUGGAGAAGGGGGAGAUGGGGAGGGGCCUCCACCAUGGGGGAGAUGAGGAUGGUGUUCAAGGGUGUGAUUCCUCCAUGGUGUUCAAUGGGUGUGAUUCAUUCCAUGGAGAAAUUGGAACCCUCAUAAGUUGCUGGUGGGCAUGUAAAAUGAUUCGGCUGCUGUGGAAAACAGUUUGGCGAUUCUUCAAACAGUGAAACAUAGAAUUAUCCUAUGAUCCAGCAAUUCCAGUCACAGGUAUACGCCCAAAAGAAUUGAAACAGGUACUCAAGCAAAUCCUUGAACCUGAAUGUUCACAGCAGCAACAUGAUCACAUAGCCAAAAGGUAGGAACAGCACAAAUGUCCAUCAAAGAAAGAAUGGAUAAGCAAAUGGUGGGAUAUGCAAACAAUGCAGUAUAAUUCAGCCUGAAAAAGUAAUGAAGCACUGAUACAUGCUACACUGAGGAUGAACUUUCAAAACCUGUGCUACCUGAAAGAAUCCAGAUGUGAAAGUCACAUAUCCUGUAUUCCUUUUGUAUGAAAUGUCCAGAAUAGGUGAAUCCAUAGAGACAGAAUGCAGGUUGGUGUUUGCCAGGUGGAGGUGGGGAGGAAUGGUGAGAAACUGCCUGAUGGGUAGGUUUAUUUUGGAGUGAUUAAAAUGUUUUGGGACUAGAUAGAGAUGGUGGUUGAACGAUGUACUAAAUGCCAUUGAAUUAUUCAGUUUAAAAUAGUUAACUUUAUGUUAUGUGAAUAUCACUUCAAAAAAUAUUAAAUGGUUGUGUAUAAAAUCCUGACUUCCAGGUUUUCUUGAACAGUCAGGACUCUGGUAACCUUGG
ensembl:lncRNA